GCAUUACUGAGGAGUCCCAUAAUAGGACGAAGCGGCCGUGCAGUGC
rnacentral:hammerhead_ribozyme from 1 species